CCUACGGGAGGCAGCAGUGAGGAAUAUUGGUCAAUGGGCGGGAGCCUGAACCAGCCAAGUCGCGUGAGGGAAGACGGUCCUAUGGAUUGUAAACCUCUCUAGGCGGGGAGCAAUGCCGGGCACGCGUGCCCGGAGGGAGAGUACCCGCAGAAUAAGCAUCGGCUAACUCCGUGCCAGCAGCCGCGGUAAUACGGAGGAUGCGAGCGUUAUCCGGAUUUAUUGGGUUUAAAGGGUGCGUAGGCGGCUUUUUAAGUCAGCGGUAAAAUGUCCGGGCUCAACCCGGGCCGGCCGUUGAAACUGGGGAGCUUGAGUGGGCGAGAAGUAUGCGGAAUGCGUGGUGUAGCGGUGAAAUGCAUAGAUAUCACGCAGAACUCCGAUUGCGAAGGCAGCAUACCGGCGCCCGACUGACGCUGAGGCACGAAAGCGUGGGGAUCGAACAGGAUUAGAUACCCCAGUAGUC
rnacentral:rRNA from 1 species